rnacentral:lncRNA from 1 species
AGCGCCUUGACCUUAUCCUCUUUUAACGCCCCAUUUAUUACACGAGAAAAUGUUUCUCAUGAAAUCACUCAUACACAAAUUAAGUCACGCCCUCCUCUUCUCAUGCCCUUAGUGGAUAGGGAUAAAUUGGUUUUUAUUUGAAUUCAAAAUUUGAUUUGAAUUCAAAUGUACAAUUACUCAUCUUUAUCCUCUCACGUGGAUAAGAUGUUUGACAUUGUUUUAAAAGGAGGAGAAGAGUGGGGCGUGUGUAAGAAAAAUUUUUUGGAGAGAAAAUCUAAGCGUGAG